UACAGAGGGUGCGAGCGUUGUUCGGAAUUAUUGGGCGUAAAGGGCGCGUAGGCGGUGCGGUAAGUCACCUGUGAAAUCUCCUGGCUCAACUGGGAGCUUGCAGGCGAAACUGCCGUGCUGGAGUGUGGGAGAGGUGCGUGGAAUUCCCGGUGUAGUGGUGAAAUGCGCAGAUAUCAGGAGGAACACCGGUGGCGAAGGCGGGUCUCUGGGCCGAUACUGACGCUGAGGAGCGAAAGCAUGGGUAGCGAACAGG
rnacentral:rRNA from 1 species